UACGGAGGGGGCUAGCGUUGUUCGGAAUUACUGGGCGUAAAGCGCGCGUAGGCGGCUUUGUAAGUUAGAGGUGAAAGCCCGGAGCUCAACUCCGGAACUGCCUUUAAGACUGCAUCGCUAGAAUUGUGGAGAGGUGAGUGGAAUUCCGAGUGUAGAGGUGAAAUUCGUAGAUAUUCGGAAGAACACCAGUGGCGAAGGCGGCUCACUGGCCCGAUACUGACGCUGAGGCACGAAAGCGUGGGGAGCGAACAGG
rnacentral:rRNA from 1 species